UGGGGAAUUUUGGACAAUGGGCGCAAGCCUGAUCCAGCCAUGCCGCGUGCGGGAAGAAGGCCUUCGGGUUGUAAACCGCUUUUGUCAGGGAAGAAAUCCUUUGAGCUAAUACCUCGGGGGGAUGACGGUACCUGAAGAAUAAGCACCGGCUAACUACGUGCCAGCAGCCGCGGUAAUACGUAGGGUGCAAGCGUUAACCGGAAUUACUGGGCGUAAAGCGUGCGCAGGCGGCUCUAUAAGACAGAUGUGAAAUCCCCGGGCCCAACCUGGGAACUGCAUUUGUGACUGUAUAGCUAGAGUACGGCAGAGGAGGAGGGAAUUCCGCGUGUAGCAGUAAAAUGCGUAGAUAUGCGGGGGAACACCGAUGGCGAAGGCAAUCCCCUGGACCUGUACUGACGCUCAUGCACGAAAGCGUGGGGAGCAAAC
rnacentral:rRNA from 1 species